UGUUGGAUGGCAUGAAAUGUUGCCCAGUAUUGUUGGUGACAGUAAUGUUGGAUGUCCUGCUCUUCUCUACACACUCUUAAGGUCAAUUGUUUUGAAAAGCAUGAUGGAGGAAGCUGACCUGCUGAAAGAACGUCUGCAGGCCAUCACGGACAAAAGGAGGGUGCAGGAAGACAUUGCCAGGAAAAGAGGACAGAUCGAGGAAGAAAAACUCAAACUGCAGUACAUCAAG